UACGGAGGGGGCUAGCGUUGUUCGGAAUUACUGGGCGUAAAGCGCACGUAGGCGGCUUUGUAAGUUAGAGGUGAAAGCCCGGAGCUCAACUCCGGAAUUGCCUUUAAGACUGCAUCGCUUGAAUCAUGGAGAGGUGAGUGGAAUUCCGAGUGUAGAGGUGAAAUUCGUAGAUAUCGGGAGGAAUACCAGUGGCGAAGGCGCUGGGCUGGACGGAUACUGACGCUGAGGUGCGAAAGCGUGGGGAGCAAACAGG
rnacentral:rRNA from 1 species